AGUAAAACUACUAUGUUAAAUGGUUUAAUCCAUCUGAAAUGUAUUUUAUUCCUUCUUAGCCAUGUUUGUUUCAUUCUUCUGAAUUAGAGAAGAUGCUCUGUAUCAAUAGACACUCCACUUGCUGUGUCUUAAACAACAAAUAGAAUUUACUGGCUCACAUAAAUGAAAAGUUCAGACUUCAGGCCAGAUUUGGUCAGGUGACUCACACAAUGUGUUGAGACCUGACAGUUUCCUCUUCAUUUCUUUGCUUUAGGCCCUGGUGACAGUCCAUUCGCAAUAGACUAUGCCCUUGUGGUCUCACAGAAGAGGCCAAACAUUCUCAGGAUUCAUGCUUCUACAUUCUCUUCCCAAAGGAAAGCAUCCUUGGCCUAGUACUCUCAGCAAAAGUCCUGACAUUGUCUUUGGUGGAACUGUCUUAGGUCACAUGUCCAUGUCCAAGUCAGUCACUGAGCCCGAAGGAAUGCCAUCCAAUGACUGGGCACACUCCUUGUUCCCUGAGAUGAAGGUGGCAUCCGCUUUCCCACAACUCCAAGUCCACCCCACUGGAAGGCACAGCUGGGAAAAAUUUCUACAUUCUCCAAACAAAGCCAAACUUUUUAUUCAUCCAUACUCUCUACAGUAUCUUCAGAUGGCAGCAUUGCAUUUAUGUAAAUAACAGACUGAGAAGCUGGUGGUGUCUCUAUGAGAUUAGAAGUCUCUUCCUGCCAAAAGACACCUUGCCCUGUGAUGGAAAACUGGGGCUGGGGAUCCCAGGAGUGGCUGCAGUGUCUUAUAGAGCUGUAGUGGCUCUGAAGUGGAUUCCUCAGAUGCCAUCAACUGAUUCAGCUUGGGUGAUGGAAUCAGGUAGAUGAGCAAAAGCAAACUGUUCUUUGUGUUAUCACUCAGGACCUAAAUAAAGAUAAAAAUGACUCAGAUUGACCAGGCACAGGUAUCACCUAGUGAAAUGUUGGGAAGGCACUUAUCUAACAACACGGUGCUAUGAGUAUUCAACCCCCGUGUUAGUUCAAGGGUAAAAUAGAGAACACAGAAUUUCCUUCUGUUUCCCAAGAAAAAGUUUGGCUUGGUAUAGCUUCCAAGGAAUUUGCUUUGUUUAUGUAUUUUUUGAUGUCCAAACAUAAAUCUAUUGUCUUUCUGUAUGUCUAUGUAUCUUUGUUUCUCUCUCCAAUUUUACAAAAAUUUAUUGAUCAUUUAUUAUGUGUGAGGCAUAGGGCAAGCCCCAGGUUACAAAAAUAAAUAAAAUAAUCUCCACUCA